UGCUCAGUAGUAUAAAGGCUAUUAUGUGAGAUUCUGGUCCUCAAGAUGUAGGUUCGAUUCCUGCCUGAGCAA
rnacentral:tRNA from 1 species